UGGGGAAUCUUCGGCAAUGGCCGCCAGGCCGACCGAGCGACGCCGCGUGGGGGACGAAGGCCCUCGGGUUGUAAACCCCUGUCGCGGGGGAGCAAGGCCCUGUGCAGAGCAGGGCUUGAGCGAUCCCGGGAGGAAGCACGGGCUAAGUUCGUGCCAGCAGCCGCGGUAAGACGAACCGUGCGAACGUUAUUCGGAAUCACUGGGCUUAAAGCGCGUGUAGGCGGACGGCCGCGUCGGACGCUGAAAGGCCACGGCUCAACCGUGGCAGCGGCCCCGAUACGGGUCGUCUGGAGGGGCGUAGGGGGAGCUGGAACUCACGGUGGAGCGGUGAUAUGCGUUGAGAUCGUGAGGAACGCCCGCGGCGAAAGCGAGCUCCUGGACGCCUACUGACGCUGAGACGCGAAAGCCAGGGGAGCGAACGGGAUUAGAUACCCGGGUAGUCC
rnacentral:rRNA from 1 species